GAUGGCGGCCAUAGACGCCGGGGAAAUACCCGGUCCCAUACCGAACCCGGAAGUCAAGACCGGUGUCGUUGGAGGAACUGUGCGGUGCGCGAGCCCGUGACAAGCCUCCAAGCUGCCACAU
rnacentral:rRNA from 1 species